GCCGGGUGUGGUGGCGCACGCCUGUAGUCCCAGCUACUCAGGAGGCUGAGGCAGGAGAAUUGCUUGAACCCAGGAGGCGGAGGUUGCAGUGAGCCGAGGUCAUGCCACUGCAGUACAGCCUGGGUGACAGGGUGAGACUCUGUCUCCA
ensembl:misc_RNA Metazoa_SRP Metazoan signal recognition particle RNA